GAUGAACGCUAGCGGCAGGCUUAACACAUGCAAGUCGAGGGGCAGCGCGGGAUAGCAAUAUCCUGGCGGCGACCGGCGGAAGGGUGCGUAACGCGUGAGCGACAUGCCCGUUGCCCGGGGACAACCGGUGGAAACGCCGACUAAUCCCCGAUGGGAUAUUGUGCCGCAUGGCACGAUAUUGAAAGUUACGGCGGCGACGGAUUGGCUCGCGUCCGAUUAGCUUGUUGGCGGGGUAACGGCCCACCAAGGCUGCGAUCGGUAGGGGUUCUGAGAGGAAGGCCCCCCACAAUGGGACUGAGACACGGCCCAUACUCCGACGGGAGGCAGCAGUGAGGAAUAUUGGUCAAUGGGCGGAAGCCUGAACCAGCCAUGCCGCGUGCGGGAAGGAGGCCCUAUGGGCUGUGAACCGCUUUUGCCUGGGGGCAAUAAGGGCGUCGCGCACGUCCGAUGAGAGUACCAGGCGAAUAAGCAUCGGCUAACUCCGUG
rnacentral:rRNA from 1 species